rnacentral:rRNA from 1 species
AUUGAACGCUGGCGGCAUGCCUUACACAUGCAAGUCGAACGGUAACAGGUUAAGCUGACGAGUGGCGAACGGGUGAGUAAUGUAUCGGAACGUGCCCAGUCGUGGGGGAUAACGUAGCGAAAGCUACGCUAAUACCGCAUACGAUCUAUGGAUGAAAGCGGGGGAUCGCAAGACCUCGCGCGAUUGGAGUGGCCGAUAUCAGAUUAGGUAGUUGGUGGGGUAAAGGCCUACCAAGCCGACGAUCUGUAGCUGGUCUGAGAGGACGACCAGCCACACUGGGACUGAGACACGGCCCAGACUCCUACGGGAGGCAGCAGUGGGGAAUUUUGGUCAAUGGAUGCAAGUCUGAACCAGCCAUGCCGCGUGCAGGAAGAAGGCCUUCUGGGUUGUAAACUGCUUUUGCCAGGGGAUAAAAUUCCAUGCGUGGAAACUGAAGGUACCUGGUGAAUAAGCCACGGCUAACUACGUGCCAGCAGCCGCGGUAA